AGAGUUUGAUCAUGGCUCAGAACGAACGCUGGCGGCAGGCCUAACACAUGCAAGUCGAGCGCCCGCAAGGGAGCGGCAGACGGGUGAGUAACGCGUGGGAACGUGCCCUUUGGUUCGGAAUAUUCCCGGGAAACUGGGAGCAAAACCGGAUAAGCCCUUCGGGGGAAAGUUUACGCCAAAGGAUCGGCCCGCGUUAGAUUAGGUAGUUGGUGGGGUAACGGCCUACCAAGCCUACGAUCUAUAGCUGAUCUGAGAGGAUGAUCAGCCACACUGGGACUGAGACACGGCCCAGACUCCUACGGGAGGCAGCAGUGGGGAAUCUUGGACAAUGGGCGCAAGCCUGAUCCAGCCAUGCCGCGUGGAUGACUGAAGGCCCUAGGGUUGUAAAGUCCUUUCGACGGGGACGAUAAUGACGGUACCCGUAGAAGAAGCCCCGGCUAACUUCGUGCCAGCAGCCGCGGUAAUGCGAAGGGGGCUAGCGUUGUUCGGAUUUACUGGGCGUAAAGGGCGCGUAGGCGGAUUUUUAAGUCGGGGGUGAAAUCCCGGAGCUCAACUCCGGAACUGCCUUCGAUACUGAAAGUCUGGAGCACGGUAGAGGUGAGUGGAAUUCCGAGUGUAGAGGUGAAAUUCGUAGAUAUUCGGAGGAACACCAGUGGCGAAGGCGGCUCACUGGACCGUUGCUGACGCUGAGGCGCGAAAGCGUGGGGAGCAAACAGGAUUAGAUACCCCGGUAGUCC
rnacentral:rRNA from 1 species